UUCUCGUCAGGCUCCUGCAGCCCCAGGCAUGAACCAAGGUUUCUGAACUACUGGGCGGGAGCCAACGUCUCUUCUUUCUCCUGCUCCAGCGGAGGCUUUGUCGCUGCGGGCUGGGCCCCAGGGUGCCCCCCAUGGCGGGGCCGCGGGUGGAGGUCGAUGGCAGCAUCAUGGAAGGGGGCGGCCAGAUCCUGAGAGUCUCUACGGCCUUGAGCUGUCUCCUAGGCCUCCCCUUGCGGGUGCACAAGAUCCGAGCCGGCCGGAGCACGCCAGGCCUGAGCUGGGCAUGCCACUAGUUGAGCUUCAGGUACAUGCACCUGCUAGAAGAGGACCCAGGUUUGAAGCCACGCUGAUUGUUUUGCCUCAACAUUUAUCUGGACUGGAAAUGAUUCGAGAUUUGUGUGAUGGGCAACUGGAGGGGGCAGAAAUUGGCUCAACAGAAAUAACCUUUACACCAGAGAAGAUCAAAGGUGGAAUCCACACAGCAGAUACCAAGACAGCAGGGAGUGUGUGCCUCUUGAUGCAGGUCUCAAUGCCGUGUGUUCUCUUUGCUGCUUCUCCAUCAGAACUUCAUUUGAAAGGUGGAACUAAUGCUGAAAUGGCACCACAGAUCGAUUAUACAGAGAUGGUCUUCAAGCCAAUUGUUGAAAAAUUUGGUUUCAUAUUUAAUUGUGACAUUAAAACAAG
rnacentral:sRNA from 1 species